ensembl:lncRNA
GGGAAAAGUGAAGGGAAAAGUGUCCCGGUGACAGCUCUCUGCUCCGCUCUGAGCGGGAGAGCCUUUCCCGAGCGAUUUUCAGUGCGCGGUGCAAUUCGUCUGUCUUUUUAAGCCUAGUUACCGCUGAAGAUAUCUUUUCCUGUGCUGGGGGCAGCUCCUGCUGCAUCACUGCUGCCCGGCUCUGCUGCGGGGGGGCUCAGGAGCGAGUGCCACAGAAGGAAGACGGCAGAUAACGUAUAGCACGUGUAACGAUUCACGUUAGUUACUUUGCGAGGGAUAAAAAGAAGCUUUUCUAAUAGGGUAACAGACAUGAAAACGCAGAGCUUUGGAACAGGUGCUCACAGAAAUAGGAGAGCCUCCCCACCUGGAAGUAUUGAGGAGACGUGUGGAUGUGGCACCGAGGGACCUGGUUUAGUGACUGGAAUCGAUUCAACCUGAAAUGAAUCAGGAGCUGAUGGUAUAAGAUGCUAUUUAGGCAUGAGACCAAACCUCCCACCGAUUCAACUUAAACUCUGGAAUUGUUUGUUUCUGCUGUGGAGCAUCAAUGAAGUACGCAGCCAUGCAGUCAUUUCUCCGAACAUUCACAGACGAAGACUUGCUGUUCCAUAAAACUGCCAGUAUUUUAACAGGAAGAAGGAUGCCCUCUGUGCUGUAGAUAUUCAGAACUGCUCUCUGGUGAUCACUUGCUACUAUUUCAUUGUGUAAGAUGUCUCAGCAGUGCAAGUUUCCUCCAUGGACCUACCACCUGAAAGUCUGGCUUUUUGAAGGAGCAGUGAAAGAGACUGCGAAGUAUCUUCUUACAGAUGAAUGGUUUUCCUCCUGAUUUCAGUCCAAAACCAGGACAGCAGUCCUCCCUCAAUCACUUUAAAAUUUCUCUUGAGACCAAACGUGGGAGAUAUGGGUUUGAAAAGUAGGCUGUCACCUGGAAGUGAUGGACAUAAAUGUUAUAAGUCUCACCAUCACCCCAGCAAUGUGAUUCUAUAGGAACAUUUGCAGUCAGUGGGGGACUCUAUCCACAAAGCAUCUUCUGAUGGAGGAACAAAAUCAAGAGAUGGAUGAGCACGAAGGAAAAGGAAGUCCUGUACUUCUUAACUUUCUAGUGCAGCAGUCCUGGCAAAGACUGCAAUGCACGCUCAUUUCAUUACCCUGCCCAGUGUGCUUUGAUCUCGUAUGGUUGUCCCCAGAUUAUAAAUCCUGAGGGACCAUUGAAUCAUCUGAUCUGACCUCUUGUGUGUUUGCAGGCUAUUAAAUUUCGUUCAUUACCCUUGUAUUGAUCUGAAGGUCUUUUGCCUGGCUACAGUUUGUGUUCCAGUGAUGCCUGUGGUAUUGAUCUGAAGACAUGAAAAGACUGAAUUCAUCAUUUCCACUAUUAUUGGUUUAAAUAUUAUCCCAUUCUCCCUAUUAAUUUUUUCUCCUUAUUUCUAAUUUUAUUUUGUCUCAUUUCAGUUUCGAGCCAUUAGGUUCCUGUUGGGAUUUUCGAUCCUAAACUGCAGAACAUUUCAAGCACUGCUUUCUUCUUGUGUGAAUGUUGGACCCAAAGAUUCUCCAUUUUUCCUGCAUGUGUUUUUAAAAUACAGAUAUCUCAC